rnacentral:rRNA from 1 species
AUUGAACGCUGGCGGCAUGCUUUACACAUGCAAGUCGAACGGUAACAGGGAGCUUGCUCCGCUGACGAGUGGCGAACGGGUGAGUAAUGCAUCGGAACGUACCGUGUAAUGGGGGGAUAACGUAGCGAAAGUUACGCUAAUACCGCAUACGCCCUGAGGGGGAAAGUGGGGGACCGCAAGGCCUCACGUUAUACGAGCGGCCGAUGUCGGAUUAGCUAGUUGGUGGGGUAAAGGCCUACCAAGGCGACGAUCCGUAGCGGGUCUGAGAGGAUGAUCCGCCACACUGGGACUGAGACACGGCCCAGACUCCUACGGGAGGCAGCAGUGGGGAAUUUUGGACAAUGGGGGCAACCCUGAUCCAGCCAUGCCGCGUGAGUGAAGAAGGCCCUU